CCCUCGAGAUGAGAUUUCCCAACUUCGGUUAUAAGAUCCCUCAAAGAUGAUGAGGUGAAUAGGUUCGAGGUGGAAGCGUAGCGAUACGUGGAGCUGACGAAUACUAAUCGAUCGAAGACUUAAUCAA
rnacentral:rRNA from 1 species